rnacentral:rRNA from 1 species
GGAUUUUAAAAGGGGAGCCGCCAGNCCAAUGGAUUUAAAGCGUNGCUUGUGAAAAUGUAACCCGGNUUCAACCCGGUGAACGUGCAGCCGCGAACUGGGUGCCUNGAGUGANGUGNGAGGUAUGCGGAAUUUNGUGGUGUAGCGGUGAAAUGNUUAGAUAUCACGAAGAACCCCGAUUGCGAAGGCAGCGUACCAGUCCUUUACUGACGNUAAAGCUCGAAGGUGCGGGUAUCGAACAGGAUUAGAUACCCUGNUAGUCCGCACGGUAAACGAUGGAUGCCCGCUGUCGGCGAUAGAAUGUCGGCGGCCAAGCGAAAGCGUUAAGCAUCCCACNUGGGGAGUACGCCGGCAACGGUGA